rnacentral:rRNA from 1 species
UACGUAGGGCGCAAGCGUUAUCCGGAAUUAUUGGGCGUAAAGAGCUCGUAGGCGGCCUGUCGCGUCGGGAGUGAAAGCCCACUGCUUAACGGUGGGUCUGCUUCCGGUACGGGCGGGCUGGAGUAUGGCAGGGGAGACUGGAAUUCCUGGUGUAGCGGUGGAAUGCGCAAAUAUCAGGAGGAACACCGGUGGCGAAGGCGGGUCUCUGGGCCAUUACUGACGCUGAGGAGCGGAAGCGUGGGGAGCGAACAGG